GUCGAAGCUUCGCUCGUGCGCUUCCUCCCCUGCCUUGAUUUGUGAUGGUGAGCAGCAAGGAAGAUGGGGUUCCUCUGUAUUCCUUUGUGUAUAGACUUGGGUGUGUAUGCAGUACCUAUUCGCAAAGGUGAUGGCGGUGAGACGCUGUAUGGAUGGACGCCAGAAGGAAGCCGGAGGGCACAUACAUAGAAGUGGUGGUGUUGUGAUAGUGGUGUAAUUGCUGCGGUAAUGAUGUGGUGUCGUCAAUGGACAAGAUCUGCAUGACUUUGGAUGCUUUCGCAACAGACAGAGGUGGACGCUGAUUCCUGGGGACACUUAGGGACUGUCAGCUACACCACCAGGCAUUUACAGCACGACACGAUGAGCUGAACGUGCAGUUAGCCCUUAAUGUGACCCUGCAGCCAGCGCCUCCACGACACCGCAGGCAUGGGUACUGCUGCUUCCACUACCAUCACCACCAGCACCAGAGCUGGCACGACCACAUCUGCCUCGACCACCACCGAGGGAAGUAAGUUCAGUCAUAUUGUGAGAUGCAAAACAUGCAUUGCUGUUGGUUGCCUCUCCGCUGGCUUUCCCGCAUCUAAAUCGCCAGUCUGCCUGUAGUUCCGGCUUGUGGUUUAUGAUAAUACUUUCGCAGCGACGCACGGUUAAGCUUUGUAUCUCUACUGUGGUGUAUCUUCCAUUGUAUUUAUACGAGGUUUCAAACGUCACUUGAUUAUUUAUCGUGUUUUUCUUUAUUAUAACACCAAGUCUUUUUAGGUAGUUAUGUGUUAGCAUUGUUUAUGUAGAUGCAUAUAGGUAAAAUUAAAAUGGAAAAUAUAGUAACACGCACGCACGGACGCACACACACACACACACACACACACACACACACACACACACACACACACACACACACACACACACACACACACACACACACACACACACACACAUGUAGGAAGGCAGGCAGGCAGGCAGGCACAUUCCUUUGGAUAAGUGCCUGUUCUGUGUCUUAGCGAAGGAGGAGGAGGAGCUGGGGGAGGUGGAGGAAGAGGAAGAGGAAGAGGAAGAGGACGACGACACGGGAGACGAGGACGACAAAGACGACAAUGUUGCCGCCUUAGUCUUGACAAGCUCUCUUCCUCCUCAUCCACCACCACCACCACCACCACCACCCUUCCCCUUCUCGUCGCAGGGCUAAACGACCCCGCCAAGCAACAUACCAGGCAGUUUACAUUGCUGGCGGCAGUCACUAGUGAAAUUACAUGCUCGUCAGUUAGUGGGCACAGAAGGAGAGGUCGUUUUCUUAACACAAGACCCUCGUUAGCGUUCUUCCACGAGCCAACCAGGCGAUCAGGGAGGCUGUGUGGGUAGUGGUGGCGGUGGAAGGGCGGGGUGGCAUUUUGGCUGCUUAGAUCAGGUCACUGGUGGCGAGGGGCGGGGUUGACAAGAGGGAGAGGUAUGGUAGAGCAGUUAACGUUUUUUUGUAGUGUUAUAAUCAUUCAGAGUAUAUGGAGGCAUGUAUGUAUGUAUGCAUUUAUAAAUUAUUUAAAAAAAGCCUUAAAAGAGUGACUGUGGAAUGAUGUAGUGUUAUAAUCAUUCAAAGUAUAUGUAUGUAUGUAUGUAUGCAUUUAUAAAUUAUUUGAAAAAAAAGCCUUAAAAGAGUAACUGUGGAAUAAUGAAUAAAGAAAUGAUGGACGUUUUUUAUUAUUGAUGGAAAAAAAAGUGUGUAUGGACAGUACGAGACAUUACCGUAUGUGUAACAGAUGAAGCAGAGUAACAGAAGAGUAAACAGACGAAAAUACAGGUACCUACAGUUUCAUUAGCAUGGUAUGAUCUAGGAGAAAAAAGCGUUGGUUGUACUGGAAUCAGAGAUGCUUCCUUUCCCUCCCUUCUUUCCACCCACCCUUUCACACACACACACACACACACACACACACACACACACACACACACACACACACACACACACACACACACACA
rnacentral:lncRNA from 1 species